rnacentral:lncRNA from 1 species
UGGCAUGGAUCUGCAAGGAAGAUGAAGAAGAUAACCUUUUCCUGUCCGGCAAUAAAUGCAUGGAUUAGGAAAGAUCUGAAGGGAAUAAAUUAAAUAAUAGUCACUCUAAAUUUGCACAAACCCCAGUGAGUUGCAGCGAGUGUACAGGCGCCUCAUAAUGCUUCUGGCGGAUCUAGAGAGAGAGAGAGAGAGAGAGAUGAAUGACAGAGGAAUGAAAAGUAAUUAUCUAGGUUAUUACUACUUUCAGAAGAUGCUGCACCUGAACGCAUGGUGAACCAGUCAACGUCCAAAACUGGAUAACACCCCAUUAUGAACAAGCUUCGUAGUGGGUGCUGAUUCUUCUGCCAAGAAUGAUUCACGGUAAGCGUCAGAAGACGAUUCUCAUCAAAUAUAAAUAAUAAAAUCUAAACCCAUCCAGAGACCGAGAGCAGAACACGAGCAAAUCAUGAGCUGGCGGCAAGCAAGAAGGGAUAGAGUCAACGAAUCGCCAAACUUAGUCGUAUUACGUUGCAAGUGGAGUCCCCCGCCCCUCCCUACUGAGACCCAGGGAGCAGUAAUAAGUCAACCAUUGCAGUAAAAAGGAAAAAGAUGAACAAAAAAAUUAGUGUGAAAUAGCAAUAUUUGUCGUAAAGGGAUCCUUUCAAGGAGUAAUGAUCUUGACGGCCUGGGACUGAGGAACACAAGAAUGGUGCGAUGCCUGCCUAUAGAACCCCUGGCACUUUUGAUAGCCCACCGGAUUCCCCCGUCAAAUUAUUAUUUCACAUAAAAAUGAAUAUUUUCUCAUACAGGAGCUUCUUUUUCUCCUACGUAUAUCUUAUAACUUCGAUUUAGAAUUGUUCUCAAAUGGGUAUACAACCUUAAAUGGAAAUUCCGAAAAUAUUUGAGAACACGAGACUAAACAGGAUGCAAAAAAGAGGCACAACACAGUAUGAUGUUCACCAGCAACUAAACAGAAUAUUCUAGACCAGAAAUGACGCCCAAACAAAGAGCAUUUUCUCUUUGGUUUCAUGAUCCUCAGCUUGAGUUUUUUUUAUAAUUACGGGUCCAUUAUUUAAAAAAAUACUCAAGGACGUAUAGUCAACGAAUGAACAGUUUCUAUAAUUAGUCAGUAUGUACCUUAUGUGUGUCACCGUAACUGUCGGACGUAAGUCCAACUGAUCGGAUCCCCUUCUUGUGAUCAUUUGGCCAUCACAUGAGACAUAAUUCUUUCUCACGACCUUGGCAAAAACCAGUCUUUCCCAGUCACUGACUUCGAGACCACCAUAUGAAGAUCAUUACUCUGCAGCCCUUCCAUUUCAAGUAACUUGAUCAACGUCCUCAUAAAAAUGGUUAGCUCAGAUGGAAGAUGCAUCGCAUUCAAAUGUGGGACGAAUUAUAUCAACAGAAACUUCUUCCCAGCAGAUUGAAAGCAAUCUUAAUGCCUUCAGGAGUAGCAUAAGCCCUCUAAAUCACUGACCCGAAAGUUUCUAAAU